rnacentral:rRNA from 1 species
CCUACGGGUGGCUGCAGUGGGGAAUAUUGGACAAUGGGGGCAACUCUGAUCCAGCCAUGCCGCGUGUGUGAAGAAGGCCCUCGGGUUGUAAAGCACUUUCAGUGAGGAAGAACGCUUGGUGGUUAAUACCCAUCAGGAAAGACAUCACUCACAGAAGAAGCACCGGCUAACUCCGUGCCAGCAGCCGCGGUAAUACGGAGGGUGCGAGCGUUAAUCGGAAUUACUGGGCGUAAAGCGCGCGUAGGUGGCUUGAUAAGCCGGUUGUGAAAGCCCCGGGCUCAACCUGGGAACGGCAUCCGGAACUGUCAAGCUAGAGUGCAGGAGAGGAAGGUAGAAUUCCCGGUGUAGCGGUGAAAUGCGUAGAGAUCGGGAGGAAUACCAGUGGCGAAGGCGGCCUUCUGGACUGACACUGACACUGAGGUGCGAAAGCGUGGGUAGCAAACAGGAUUAGAUACCCGAGUAGUC